rnacentral:rRNA from 1 species
UACGAAGGGGGCUAGCGUUGCUCGGAAUCGACUGGGCGUAAAGCGCACGUAGGCGGAUUGUUAAGUCAGGGGUGAAAUCCUGGAGCUCAACUCCAGAACUGCCUUUGAUACUGGCGAUCUUGAGUCCGGGAGAGGUGAGUGGAACUGCGAGUGUAGAGGUGAAAUUCGUAGAUAUUCGCAAGAACACCAGUGGCGAAGGCGGCUCACUGGCCCGGUACUGACGCUGAGGUGCGAAAGCGUGGGGAGCAAACAGG